ACGCUCGACACCUACGGGAGCAGCAGUAGGGAAUCUUCCACAAUGGACGCAAGUCUGAUGGAGCAACGCCGCGUGAGUGAAGAAGGUUUUCGGAUCGUAAAGCUCUGUUGUUGGUGAAGAAGGAUAGAGGUAGUAACUGGCCUUUAUUUGACGGUAAUCAACCAGAAAGUCACGGCUAACUACGUGCCAGCAGCCGCGGUAAUCUGAGCGGGCGUGGCGAAGGC
rnacentral:rRNA from 1 species